rnacentral:rRNA from 1 species
GGCUACACACGUGCUACAAUGGCGCAUACAAAGAGAAGCGACCUCGCGAGAGCAAGCGGACCUCAUAAAGUGCGUCGUAGUCCGGAUUGGAGUCUGCAACUCGACUCCAUGAAGUCGGAAUCGCUAGUAAUCGUGGAUCAGAAUGCCACGGUGAAUACGUUCCCGGGCCUUGUACACACCGCCCGUCACACCAUGGGAGUGGGUUGCAAAAGAAGUAGGUAGCUUAACCUUCGGGAGGGCGCUUACCACUUUGUGAUUCAUGACUGGGGUGAAGUCGUAACAAGGUAACCGUAGGGGAACCUGCGGUUGGAUCACCUCCUUACCUUAAAGAAGC